CAGAGAUAUUGAUGUUUCUUAGAUCACAGCUUCAAAACUAAGAUAUAUAACAACAGAGAUCUCACAAAACACAAAGUUCAGAACCCUUGAAGCAACCAGUCUAUUCAUCUCAAGCAUCUUCCCUGUCCCAGAGUUCUUUCUGCUCAUCCUCCAGCACCGGCUCCCCUCCUACUAUGAACUCUGUUGACAGUUUCAGAAUUCCAUGGAAAAUGUUUCCUGAGGAAUUAAUGCAGGCCCUUGAGAGACAGAAAAGGCCAAGUCAAGCCAAGAAAAGGCCCAAGGACUGUUGUCAAGAAAUGGGAAAUAAUCAACCUGCUCAUCCUCCGCGUCGGUUCUCACCGGAACUCAAGAGGCCUUGGAGACCAGUAGCAUGGAGGUAAGAAUCUAUCUUUCUGUGCAUUCUUUAAAUAUAAAUUUAUCACAACUUGAACACCCCAUUUGACAAAUUCAUUUGAUUCAAUGCACUUGAUUACUUGGUCCACUAUCAUGUAAAAUAUAUUGCAUUGUUGCGUUUACAUUCAGUAUAAUAGUCACUAGCUCACUUCAAGUCAGGUGUAUGAAAAUACUACUAUUCUUUGUUCCUCUUAAUUAAAAAAAAAGUGCAAUGCUUGGGUUAAUAUAACUCAUUAUUUGUCUUGUUAAAUUCAAGAAAAAAAUAAGAGGGGCCA